rnacentral:rRNA from 1 species
UACGGAGGGUGCAAGCGUUAAUCGGAAUUACUGGGCGUAAAGAGUGCGUAGGUGGUUAUGUGUGUUAGAUGUGAAAUCCAUGGGCUCAACCUGUGAAUUGCAUUUAAAACAGCAUAGCUAGAGUGUUGUAGAGGGUGGCGGAAUUUCCAGUGUAGCGGUGAAAUGCGUAGAUAUUGGAAGGAACACCAGUGGCGAAGGCGGCCACCUGGACAAACACUGACACUGAGGUACGAAAGCGUGGGUAGCGAACAGG